rnacentral:rRNA from 1 species
AUUGAACGCUGGCGGCAUGCCUUACACAUGCAAGUCGAACGGCAGCGCGGGAGCAAUCCUGGCGGCGAGUGGCGAACGGGUGAGUAAUAUAUCGGAACGUGCCCAGUAGUGGGGGAUAGCCCGGCGAAAGCCGGAUUAAUACCGCAUACGACCUACGGGUGAAAGGGGGGGAUCGCAAGACCUCUCGCUAUUGGAGCGGCCGAUAUCAGAUUAGGUAGUUGGUGGGGUAAAGGCCUACCAAGCCUGCGAUCUGUAGUUGGUCUGAGAGGACGACCAGCCACACUGGGACUGAGACACGGCCCAGACUCCUACGGGAGGCAGCAGUGGGGAAUUUUGGACAAUGGGCGCAAGCCUGAUCCAGCAAUGCCGCGUGCAGGAAGAAGGCCUUCGGGUUGUAAACUGCUUUUGUCAGGGAAGAAAUCCUCUAGGCUAAUACCUUGGGGGGAUGACGGUACCUGAAGAAUAAGCACCGGCUAACUACGUACCAGCAGCCGCCGUAACAC